rnacentral:rRNA from 1 species
UGAACGCUGGCGGCAGGCCUAACACAUGCAAGUCGGACGGUAGCACAGAGGAGCUUGCUCCUUGGGUGACGAGUGGCGGACGGGUGAGUAAUGUCUGGGGAUCUGCCCGAUAGAGGGGGAUAACCACUGGAAACGGUGGCUAAUACCGCAUAACGUCGCAAGACCAAAGAGGGGGACCUUCGGGCCUCUCACUAUCGGAUGAACCCAGAUGGGAUUAGCUAGUAGGCGGGGUAAUGGCCCACCUAGGCGACGAUCCCUAGCUGGUCUGAGAGGAUGACCAGCCACACUGGAACUGAGACACGGUCCAGACUCCUACGGGAGGCAGCAGUGGGGAAUAUUGCACAAUGGGCGCAAGCCUGAUGCAGCCAUGCCGCGUGUAUGAAGAAGGCCUUCGGGUUGUAAAGUACUUUCAGCGGGGAGGAAGGCGAUGCGGUUAAUAACCGCGUCGAUUGACGUUACCCGCAGAAGAAGCACCGGCUAACUCCGUGCCAGCAGCCGCGGUAAUACGGAGGGUGCAAGCGUUAAUCGGAAUUACUGGGCGUAAAGCGCACGCAGGCGGUCUGUUAAGUCAGAUGUGAAAUCCCCGGGCUUACCCUGGGAACUGCAUUUGAAACUGGCAGGCUUGAGUCUUGUAGAGGGGGGUAGAAUUCCAGGUGUAGCGGUGAAAUGCCUAGAGAUCUGGAGGAAUACCG